GAUGAACGCUAGCGGCAGGCCUAAUACAUGCAAGUCGAACGGUGUCUUCGGACAUAGUGGCGCACGGGUGCGUAACACGUAUGCAACCUACCUUACAUUGGGGGAUAGCCUUUCGAAAGGGAGAUUAAUACCGCAUAAGACAGUAGCUGGGCAUCCAGCAGCUGUUAAAGAUUUAUCGAUGUAAGCUGGGCAUGCGUCCAAUUAGCUAGUUGGUGAGGUAACGGCUCACCAAGGCUAUGAUUGGUAGGGGAACUGAGAGGUCAAUCCCCCACACUGGCACUGGGAUACGGGCCAGACUCCUACGGGAGGCAGCAGUAGGGAAUAUUGGGCAAUGGACGCAAGUCUGACCCAGCCAUGCCGCGUGCAGGAUGAAGGCGUUAUGCGUUGUAAACUGCUUUUAUACAGGAAGAAACGACCCUUGCGAGAGGCAUUGACGGUACUGUAUGAAUAAGCACCGGCUAACUCCGUGCCAGCCGCCGCCGUAAUAC
rnacentral:rRNA from 1 species